UUUUCUGUUUCUCUCUGGUUCUCUGUUCUGAUAGGAAAAGCUCUUCUCCUGUUAGACUCUCUCUUAGGAAGAGAUCUUAGAGAGAUAUGCCUGGAGAGACGAUGGCGGCUGAUGAGGCGAAAGCGGACUGCGGCUCCAGCCUCCUGCUGGGGCUGCCGGAGGAUGUGCUGGAGCUGAUCUCCGGUCUCCUCCAGCCCCGCGACCUAUGCAGCCUCGCCCUCUGCUGCCGCGGUCUCCGCGCCGCCGUCGCCGCCUCCGAGAAGGCCUGGCUCGCCCAGUGCCGCCGCCUCGGCCCGCCGCCGGACCUCCUCCCCCGGUGGCGCUCCGGCGUCCGCUCCUACGGAGCCCUCUGCCGCUUCCUCUCUUCCGUCUCCCCCCUCCUCGGCAUCUGGGUCCACCAGAACCCCGAGCUCGGCAACGUCGUCUGCGUCAUCUGGGGCUUCCUCUCCGUCGCCGCCUGCCGCGUUAUCCCCCAGGAGCUUGGCCCUCUCGGCCUCGACGCUGGCCCCCUCCUCUGGGCCCCCGUUUUCGAGAUCUUCGCCGACUUCGACGGCGCCCCCUCACUCCUAUUCGUCCACGGUCGCGACCUCGCCGACGAGUGCCUCUUCCCCGGCGCAGUCCGCUCCCUCGAUCCCGCCGCCAACGUCCUCCUCCUCGAGGUAGACGCUCGCCCAUCUGUCAACCCCUCCCCACCUUCCAAGUCCCAUCUUUUGCCCCAGUGUCGAAGCUUUUCCACCGAUUCCGAGCCCAAAGAUCCCACCUUUACGAGCAACUUCUGCCGGUCGGACACCACCGUCGCCUCGCGUCCCUCGCCGCCUCCGGUGCCGCCGCCGCCGCCGCCUCCUCCCUUCAGCCGUUUAGCCUUCGGCGACCGGCGGAGGCUUCUCGACCUCGUCGCCGGAAGGGUCCGCCUCAAGGUCCCCCAGGAUCUGGCCGCCGCUCCGCUCUUCCCUUGCUCGCCUACUCACGACGAUAUAGCAAUUUUGGCUGAUCGGAGGUUAUCGCUCAUCCAGAUGCACAAGCUCAAUGGUGGCCGCAUGGAUCCGAAGGUGGCAGAGCCGACGUUGGGCUCAAGCGAGCACAGUAGAAUUCCCAGCAGUGAUGAGAUUCCUUGCUCCCGGAGCAGCACCACUGGUCGGAGGAGGAACCUUUUCUCGGUUGCUGGGUACGUCAAGGAUGGCCUGAAGCAAUUCAUGGGGAGGUCAUCAAGUUCCCUUAAUGCUUCCGGGCUGAUAUCGAGCAAACGGGUUUCUCUGGGGUCCGGCGAGAGCAAACAUGUGCCUGUACAUGAGUUUUUGAGGACCGGCGACACGAUCAGGCUGAGCUUGAGAGCUGCAUACAUGAGGCUGACUACUUACCGGGCAUGGCCAAACAUGCACGACAACCGGUUUGCUCUGUAUAAGCUCCCGUUGCAGGCCCCAGAGGCAGGCAGAGAGUACGCUGGUCUAUGGGGUGGCACAUUUGGCUGGCCUCCUGGUCGGCCCUCUGAAGACAAGCCAGGGAAGGCCCUGUUCUUCUUGCUGCUUUCGUAUGAGGAGGCUGAGGGGCAGCUUCUUCUCAUUGCCACCAAAAUUUUGGAAGGAACCCACUAUGUUCUCCACCCCAAUGGCUCUGCAAUGUUCACCGUGAAGGUUGAUGAGCCAGCAACAGAGCCAUUCCCUUGGGAGACUGAUGGUGACUCUAUCCAUGUGGAAGUGAAGCACACUUGCUCCGGGGAGGGCAUUGCGAAUGGUUAUGGGUUCCGAUACCCUGGAUCUAAGCCUGGUUCCCUCUAUGUGAUCCAACAUGGGCUUCUUGCAUUUGUCUGGAGUGAGUCCAAGGCUGUCUUGACUUUGCAGAGGCUAGACUUGGAAGAGCUGCUAAAGAAAGGAGAGCGAGUUCCCUCUCUACCUCCAAUUGACAAUUUUGCCUACUUAACCAAAUCAUAUUCAAAUGUUUUUGCAGGCUUCCCUACCAACUCGAGUUGUUCAACUUCACCCCGUUUGUGGAUAGAAUGCUGUGUCCACAAAUGAGAGUACGUUGUGAGAUGCAUCUUUGAGUUUAUAUGGCAGGAGGCUAACCAGUAACCAUUAUCUCUUAUCAGUAACAAUGUAUUGUUGGCUUCCACUGCAAUAAAAGUGGAUUAUCUCUUUCUUUGGAAAUAUCAUUGACAGUGGAUUCUAGAGUUGUGACAUUUGAAGGCGCAAGAUGCGACUUUAGCUUUGUUCCAGCUCUGAGGUCAAACAAGACAAAAUUUUCAAGCAAUUUAUAAGUUCGUAGCUACCCAGCCAAAUUCUACAUCUCACCAUGGUAUCUUAUUCCACAAAUUUGAUAAUUAGUCAGUGUGUAUGAACAAGUGCUUGGAAGUUUGUUGAGUUUCAGGACACAUACUUUUGAAGCCAUCAUCUUCGUCAAGUGGAUUUAUGCGUCAAGCUAAUGUGAUCAAGGAAAAUAUUUAUAUUGGCUGUCAUCAAGUUGUGAGAUGUAUAAAAAUGAAUCAGAAUAUUCUCCUUGGGGCUGAACCUAUGCACAUUGUUGCAAUAAAACAUCCAUUAUCUUAAUUACAACA